GAUGAACGCUGGCGGCGUGCUUAAUACAUGCAAGUCGAACGAAGCACCUUGGACAGAAUCCUUCGGGAGGAAGACCAUUGUGACUGAGUGGCGGACGGGUGAGUAACGCGUGGGUAACCUGCCUUGUACAGGGGGAUAACAGUUGGAAACGACUGCUAAUACCGCAUAAGACCACGGGAUCACAUGGUUCUGGGGUAAAAGAUUUAUCGGUUUGGGGUGGGCUCGCGUCCGAUUAGGUAGUUGGUGAGGUAACGGCCCACCAAGCCGACGAUCGGUAGCCGACCUGAGAGGGUGAUCGGCCACAUUGGGACUGAGACACGGCCCAAACUCCUACGGGAGGCAGCAGUGGGGAAUAUUGCACAAUGGGGGAAACCCUGAUGCAGCGACGCCGCGUGAGCGAAGAAGUAUUUCGGUAUGUAAAGCUCUAUCAGCAGGGAAGAAGAAAUGACGGUACCUGACUAAGAAGCACCGGCUAAAUACGUG
rnacentral:rRNA from 1 species